CUACAACUAAUUACAUAAUGCCUUUGGACAUGCCCAAAAAGAUGGGAUUUUACACACAAUAUCGGAGUUUGGUUGCUGCGAAAUUCCAGAUUUUUUUUUUCUCCCCUUUUUCUUCCAUUUUCCAGACAACAAGAAUUAGAAAAGGGAUGAAUUGACCAGAGUGAACUACAUCUGAUCCAACAAGAAUUGGUGAAUGUGUGCUGAAUCCAUUUGCCAUAUCUUCAGAGAUGCUGUUACACUUGUUCCGGUGGCAUUGUUGAACAGAAAUACUCGCGCUGCUCCAUCGAUGGCCCUCGUCGGGUAAAUUCGAGACGUGAUCACUGUUCUUCCUCCUUGAGCAAAGCUCUCCACAAUCGAAUGAUCCAC